AUUGAACGCUGGCGGCAGGCCUAACACAUGCAAGUCGAACGAGCGGCGGACGGGUGAGUAAUGUAUGGGGAUCUGGCCGAUAGAGGGGGAUAACUACUGGAAACGGUGGCUAAUACCGCAUACUAUAGGAUGAGCCCAUAUGGGAUUAGCUAGUCGGUGGGGUAAAGGCUCACCAAGGCGACGAUCCCUAGCUGGUCUGAGAGGAUGACCAGCCACACUGGGACUGAGACACGGCCCAGACUCCUACGGGAGGCAGCAGUGGGGAAUAUUGCACAAUGGGCGCAAGCCUGAUGCAGCCAUGCCGCGUGUAUGAAGAAGGCCUUAGGGUUGUAAAGUACUUUCAGCGGGGAGGCGUUACCCACAGAAGAAGCACCGGCUAACUCCGUGCCAGCAGCCGCGGUAAUUC
rnacentral:rRNA from 1 species